rnacentral:snRNA from 1 species
GGAUGUGGGGGCAAUCUGGCUGCAACAUCUGUCACCCGGUUGAUUGCCAGGGUAAUUCUGCUGAUCUGGCUGGCUAGCAGGGCGUUUCCUUCCCCCCUCACUGCUUCAUGUGCGUCCUUCCCACACUGUGCACUCUGUCCAAGAGGAUGAGCUUCCCCAAACAAAGAUGGGCCCGUCUUCAGUCAAAGAUAUACGGAUAGCUGCGUUCCCCUGCUACAACCUCCAAACAAGCUCUCAAGAGACAACCCCUUCUAUGUAUGGCUAAUUAUUUUAUGACAAUGAAGAAAGAGCAUACAGAAUAGAAAAAAUUUAAAUAAAUGAUAUU